rnacentral:rRNA from 1 species
UACAGAGGGUGCAAGCGUUAAUCGGAAUUACUGGGCGUAAAGCGCGCGUAGGCGGUCUUUUAAGUUGGAUGUGAAAUCCCCGGGCUUAACCUGGGCACUGCAUUCAAGACUGGGAGACUUGAGUUUGGGAGAGGGUGGUGGAAUUUCCGGUGUAGCGGUGAAAUGCGUAGAUAUCGGAAGGAACAUCAGUGGCGAAGGCGACUGCCUGGCCCAAAACUGACGCUGAGGUGCGAAAGCGUGGGGAGCAAACAGG